AGGGGUAGAGAGGGGGGAGAUGCGAAGAUUGAAAGGGAUCUUUGCAAACACAAUCACGUUCUUAAAUGGAAAUGCGGGGCUUUAAACAAAUCUUACAUCUCUCCCGUUCCAGUCGCCUAAAAGUCCGCAAUCAGGCGCAUGUUCCACUCCUUCUAAAACCGAAGCUUUUUGCUGCAGUGGGACUCACUGUACGAAUUAUUGAUUUCAAUCCAUGGACUAGAGCACGAUUUAACGAGUUCCAAACCUUCCAUCUAACUCCGUGACGGGCUUGAAAGCAUCAGGCUUGGGAUGCCUAAGCCCCUUCUCAGCUUCUGUCUACCUGUCUGCUGGGGUGUUGGUGCCUGGGCUUCAACCAUCAGCCCUAACCUGUGUGGCUUCCUGUCCGUCCACAGAGGGACCCAAUCCUCUACUUUGAAUUCAAAGGGGCCUGAAGACAACACAGCCUCACGCAGGCUCAGCAACACACAGGUUACGACCCCAACAGGACAUAUCACGCCACCCGGCGGGCUGAGUUGUUACACACUACACGUGCGCGCGUGUAGCCACAGGUGGUUGGUGACACCUUAAUUUGGGAGGAUGGGCUUGUGGUUAGAGCUGGAGCAGAAUCAUGUUUCCAUGUGUUUGAUGUGCUGAGCUGUCCUCCCCUCAGCAGCCUCCGCUGGUGUAAGCAUGUUGCCCCCUGCCGAAUGUCCAUCCGCCCUGCGUCUCCCCCUCAGCCCACCCAUCCUUCCUCUCUACCUAUCCCCCCUUUCAUCCUCUAUCUCUUUUCUUCAUACUGGACCGGAAAAUGAACGGGCAAAGUUGGCCGAGAGAGAGAGAGAGAGAGAGGCAGAGAGAGAGAGAGGCAGAGAGAGAGAGAGAGAGAGGCAGAGAGAGAGAGAGAGGCAGAGAGAGAGAGAGAGAGAGAGAGAGAGAGAGAGAGAGAGAGAGAGAGAGAGAGAGAGAGAGAGAGAGAGAGAGAGAGAGAGAGAGAGAGAGAGAGAGAGAGGCAGAGAGAGAGAGAGAGAGAGAGAGAGGCAGAGAGAGGCAGAGAGAGAGAGAGAGAGAGAGAGAGAGAGAGAGAGAGAGAGAGAGAGAGAGAGAGAGAGAGAGAGAGAGAGAGAGAGAGAUAGAUACCUUAUUUGAUCCAGCAGCCGGUUCUCUGGGGUGUAGAGUGAUCAGUCCUGCCCCUCUGGUUACUCCCCUGGUUCUGGCACAAUAACAGACAACUCCAGCCUUACACACACACACACACACACACACACACACACACACACACACACACACACACACACACACACACACACAUUACUGCGCACUCACCAGAUAACUUAGCUGCAGUCAGAGGCCCACUGGAAAGUUAUUAAUGAGCUGUUUAAUUUUAAUUAGAUAGUAAUUCAUGUUAAUGCUUGCUUAAUGGAGCCAAAUAAUUCCCCUCGGUCACUUGGGGUCUUUAUGCUUCGUUUACCGGCCCCUGCAGUUAUUCUCCCUUUUGCCUUUAUAUUAGUUUUCAAGACUUUCUAGAGAAUGGGAUUAUACAAUGAAUAUGAGAAACAUAUGGAGCAACUGAAGCGUGUGUGUGUGUGUGUGUGUGUGUGUGUGUGUGUGUGUGUGUGUGUGUGUGUGAGCACAUUCAUUUGUGUAAGUGUGUGUGUGCCUACUUGCAUACGCUAGCGUGUUGGUAUGUGUGUGCAUCCAUUUGUGUGUGGGAGCUAGCAGGUGGCUCUCACUUUUAAAUGCACCACCCACUAAAUGAAUUAAGUCCAGAAAACAAAAGGUCAAGCUGAGUAUUGAGGGCACGCUGGGGUCGAAACCUUAGGUGGAAGUGCAGCCGGCAGUACAUCUCCAUAUGCCGACAAACUAGUACAGGGGUCGCGACCUGAGCAUGAGGGUAUGGUAAAAUGAGCAAACCUCCAGUCGUGUGCUCGGCUGUUGUAGUUGUUGUGUUUUCAGCACACCUAGAGGGUUAAAACAAUGUUAAAUAUAGGAGUGAGUGUAGGAGUAACCCAACGUUUUUGCCCUUACCAAACAAGGGGUCAUGGCUAAGGCACUGACCAGCCAGCCUGUCUCUCUGCUGUCUGGCCUGUGUACGUGCAGGGGCCACAUCAAGGCACUAAGCCAGCCGGCUGAAUUGAGUUAGUGGCUACAGACUGCUUUUAAUUGUUGAUUGACCAGUCUGAGUGCUGCCUGUGCCGGGGUCACUUAUGAUAGCACAGGGGGAGGUCCCUAGGCCCCAGCUGCAAUUUCAGCCCCACACGACACAGAGAGAGGGAGGAGAGCGGAACAAGAUGGAGGGACUGACGGAAGGGAGGAGGGAGGAAAAAAGGAGGAGAGGAGAGUUGAAGAGAGAAGGUUAGAGAGGAUAUGUUUCUGUUCUUGUUUGUUUGAUCGAAAAAUUGAUUAAUUAAGGGGUUAUUACACAUAGAUAAUACACAUGGGCUGAUGGGUCCCACAUAGAAGCACAUCAGUUAUUGAAGCUCACCAUCCAAGCUCAAGUAUGUUGGGGGUAUGCCUACCCCCGUACAACAAAUCCAUAUUCUUUGAUCCGUUUGACAAUUACAAAUUUGACUUUGUAUUCGUUCCAUUUUUCUUCCCCAGCUCAUUCUCUACUUCUCCUUCAUCCUCUCCCUCUUCUCCUCCUCCCCCUCCUCUCCUCCCUCUCUUCUCCUCCCUCUCCUCUCCUCCCUUCCUUUCAUUUGGCACAGGGGCACCAAAGCCCACUCUUGCAGUUUAAGCGGGGGUGCGCUCCCUCGCCCCUUUCGCCCCUCUCCCUCACAGCAGGUGCGUGUCCUUCCCUAACAUUUGUUAUCUCUAAUCCUGCAGGUUCCGAGCACAAAAAGAGCGUAGUAAAGUCUCUCGCCACCCUAAUCCCUCCAUCCCUCAAUUCCUUUUUUGAUGGCGUUUUUUUCUCUCUCCAUUUUUGGGGGGAAGGGAGAGACACUUCACUCUGAUUACCACACAGUUUUAUCUAUCUGGGAGCCCCUUGGAAAUUCAGAAUCGCGGGGGCUUCGUCUGUUUAGCUCCCCGGUCCCGACUUUCCCUUUUUGCCCCCUCUACCCGUAUCAUUUACAGUCAUUUUCUGGCAAUUAAAAGGGAGCACUGCUGCAGGUUUUUGGCCUGCAGUGCCCGCUACACCAUUGAUGAAUAAUUCCUCAGCCUGCAAACUGGAAAGCUAGCCUUUCUUUCAUGUGUGGCUUUGUUGAUUUACCAUUAAAACUUGCUCUGCGGUGGGCUUUGCCGUGGAGGGCUGCUCUGUGGUUUGGUUUGUGAUGGAGGGGGAGACAUUAAAUAUGAAGUGUACAUAUGCUUCGUGUCAGUUUUCUAAAGUCUAAAUCUGGUAGCGUGUUGACUCAUUUUAUAUUUCUGCGCAUCUGGAAGGCUUGAAUUCAUAUAUACUGUUCAUUCUUUUCUCAGACACAUUGUGCUCAGACUUUAUAGUAUUACUUCAUCUUAAUUAAUCUUCAUCCAUUCAUUGAUUCAUAUUGCCAUUACUGCUUUAUUAUCGUGGUUACUUAUGGGUGAUUUGACAUCACACACAGGGACGGAUCUAUCACAUAAUCACACGCACACAAACACGCAUGUAUCCACACACGCACUGCCCCCCCCCCACACACUGUCUCUCUCUUUCUUUUUUUCUUUCUUUCUCUCUCUCACUCUCACAAACAUACACACACACACACACACACACACACACACACACACACACACACACACACACACACACACACACACACACACACACACACACACACACACACACACACACACACACACACACACACACACUGGUGUUGACAGUAUAGUAAAUUAACGAUACAGCCCCACUGAAUCCAUCCCUCUCCCGUGUCCCGGAGCAGCCGCUAUGUUAACUGCUCAAGCCCUGGGUAAUGGAUGGCAGCCACUCUGUUAACUGCUCCAGCCCUGGGUAAUGGAUGGCAGCCACUCUGUUAACUGUUCCAGCCCUGGGUAAUGGAUGGCAGCCACUCUGUUAACUGCUCCAGCUCUGGGUAAUGGAUGGCAGCCACUCUGUUAACUGCUCCAGCCCUGGGUAUUGGAUGACAGCCAGCUCUGUUAACUGUUCCAGCCCUGGGUAAUGGAUGGCAGCCACUCUGUUAACUGCUCCAGCCCUGGGUAAUGGAUGGCAGCCACUCUGUUAACUGCUCCAGCCCUGGGUAAUGGAUGGCAGCCACUCUGUUAACUGCUCCAGCCCUGGGUAAUGGAUGACAGCCAGCUCUGUUAACUGCUCCAGCCCUGGGUAAUGGAUGGCAGCCAGCUCUGUUAACUGCUCCAGCCCUGGGUAAUGGAUGGCAGCCACUCUGUUAACUGCUCCAGCCCUGGGUAAUGGAUGGCAGCCGGCUCUGUUAACUGCUCCAGCUCUGGGUAAUGGAUGGCAGCCACUCUGUUAACUGCUCCAGCCCUAGGUAAUGGAUGGCAGCCAGCUCUGUUAACUGCUCCAGCCCUGGGUAAUGGAUGGCAGCCACUCUGUUAACUGCUUCAGCCCUGGGUAAUGGAUGGCAGCCAGCUCUGUUAACUGCUCCAGCCCUGGGUAAUGGAUGGCAGCCACUCUGUUAACUGCUCCAGCUCUGGGUAAUGGAUGGCAGCCACUCUGUUAACUGCUCCAGCCCUGGGUAUUGGAUGACAGCCAGCUCUGUUAACUGUUCCAGCCCUGGGUAAUGGAUGGCAUCCACUCUGUUAACUGCUCCAGCCCUGGGUAAUGGAUGGCAGCCACUCUGUUAACUGCUCCAGCCCUGGGUAAUGGAUGGCAGCCACUCUGUUAACUGCUCCAGCCCUGGGUAAUGGAUGACAGCCAGCUCUGUUAACUGCUCCAGCCCUGGGUAAUGGAUGGCAGCCAGCUCUGUUAACUUCUCCAGCCCUGGGUAAUGGAUGGCAGCCACUCUGUUAAUUGCUCCAGCCCUGGGUAAUGGAUGGCAGCCGGCUCUGUUAACUGCUCCAGCUCUGGGUAAUGGAUGGCAGCCACUCUGUUAACUGCUCCAGCCCUAGGUAAUGGAUGGCAGCCAGCU